rnacentral:lncRNA from 1 species
CGCCGUACGAACCAGAGGAGAGAGAGAGGCUAGGGCGCUGAGAGAGAAGGAGCAGGAGGCUCCUGGACAGCGGUCGCCAGGCUCUUCAGGGGUUCAGGGGGUCUCCAAGAGAGAGAGAGUUUUUGUGAGGGAAACUUUAUGUGAGAGAGAAUUGGGUGUACAAGGGUUGAGGGUGAGGUCUCCUCUUGUAAAAUUUUCUUUUCAUAGUGAAGUUUGCAUGUCCCGUGGAGGCGAGCCCUUUUGUGGCUGAUCCAUGUUUUUUGAUUGUUUUUCCUUUUGUUUUGUUUCUUCUUUCUUUCUGCUGCAUCGCGUGGUACUGAAAGGAUCUUGGGAGGUGGUGUCCUGACCAGACAUCCA